GUCUAUAUGUCCGAGUGGUUAAGCAGACAGACUUGAAAUCAGUUGGGCUUCGCCCGCGCAGGUUCGAACCCUGCUGUGUUUU
rnacentral:tRNA from 1 species